AGAGUUUGAUCCUGGCUCAGAACGAACGCUGGCGGCAUGCCUAACACAUGCAAGUCGAACGAAGUCUUCGGACUUAGUGGCGCACGGGUGCGUAACGCGUGGGAAUCUGCCCUUGGGUGCGGAAUAACUUCUCGAAAGGGAUGCUAAUACCGCAUAAUGUCGUAAGACCAAAGAUUUAUCGCCCGAGGAUGAGCCCGCGUAAGAUUAGCUAGUUGGUGGGGUAAAAGCCUACCAAGGCGACGAUCUUUAGCUGGUCUGAGAGGAUGAUCAGCCACACUGGGACUGAGACACGGCCCAGACUCCUACGGGAGGCAGCAGUGGGGAAUAUUGGACAAUGGGCGAAAGCCUGAUCCAGCAAUGCCGCGUGAGUGAUGAAGGCCCUAGGGUUGUAAAGCUCUUUACCAGGGAUGAUAAUGACAGUACCUGGAGAAUAAGCUCCGGCUAACUCCGUG
rnacentral:rRNA from 1 species